CCACAGGGUAUUUCACUGCCCAAAACCGCCACUACCUACAAUUCACUGUCUCCAAGGAUACAGUGAAUGUAUCCUUGAAUACUGAAUUCCAUACAGCAUACUAUGGAACACUCAGAAAAGCCAUAUUCUAUAAAGGAAUGAUGUCUUGAACUGCAGAAUUUUAUGAAUCAGUCAGCCUGAAAGAAGGACUAUAUGGGUCCGAGAGGGAUUUUAUACUUCUGACCACAGCAAAUAAGUGACUAUCUAAAGUCAGUACCAGCAUAUUCCUAUAAGAAGGGGCAGAAAUUGUUUAUAUCUAUGAUGUGAUGCCAGUAGUAUAGCAGCCAUCUUGCAACCAUGAAGCAACAGCAUGAGCGUGAAAGCUGGUGCAUUAAGGAUGAUGGAGCAGAAUAAUGAAGGCCAGAUGCCUAAUGGCAUUGCAGAACAGCUGAAACAAUACCAGCAACUAGCUGGUAAAUAUGUCUUAAACCCAGCAAAUAUGUCUCUCUCAUUAUGUGAGAAAAAUAAACACAAUGUUUGAGCUACUCUCA